rnacentral:rRNA from 1 species
GACGAACGCUGGCGGCGCGCUUAACACAUGCAAGUCGAACGGAAAGGCCUGCUUUCCCUUGUGGAUUGCGGGUACUCGAGUGGCGAACGGGUGAGUAACACGUGAGUGAUCUGCCCCCAACUUGGGUAUAAGCCGGGGAAACUGGGUCUAAUUCCCGAUAGGACUGCAGGGUGGUGCCUGUGGUGGAAAACGAUUUUCUAGUGGUUGGGGAUGAGCUCGCGGCCUAUCAGCUCGUUGGUGGGGUAAUGGCCUACCAAGGCGGCGACGGGUAGCCGGGCUGAGGGGGUGGACCGCCACAUUGGGAAUGAGCUGCGGCCCAGACUCCUACGGGCGGCAGCAGUUGGGAAUGUUGGACGAUGGGCGGAAGCCUGAUGCAGCGACGCCGCGUGGGGGAUGACGGCCUUCGGGUUGUAAACUCCUUUCGGGCGCGAGGAAGCCACCUGGUUGGAAGGGUGGUGACGGUAGUGGUAGAAGAAGCACCGGCUAACUACGUG